UACGUAGGGGGGCAAGCGUUGUCCGGAAUCAUUGGGCGUAAAGAGCUCGUAGGCGGUCUGUUACGUCGGCUGUGAAAACCUGGGGCUCAACUCCGGGCCUGCAGCCGAUACGGGCAGACUAGAGUUCGGCAGGGGAGACUGGAAUUCCUGGUGUAGCGGUGAAAUGCGCAGAUAUCAGGAGGAACACCGGUGGCGAAGGCGGGUCUCUGGGCCGAAACUGACGCUGAGGAGCGAAAGCGUGGGGAGCAAACAGG
rnacentral:rRNA from 1 species